CCAAAGGGUAGAACCAGGACACUAAGUGGAACAGAGGCAGGCUUUGGUUUCACAUAUGCAAGAGUCAGUUCUAAUAACAAUAACCAGAGAUGAGCCACAUCUGUGGGGUACCCAAAUCAAGUCGGUGGGCCAUGAGGGAUGUUAUACAGGGAUUUUGGGCCAGGAUGACCUUGGGCAUCCCUGCAACACCUCACUGUGGGCCCAGCCCUGCCCCUGCUACUUCCCUUCAAUCUGUUGAGGUGGGGUGGCUUUGGAGCAGUGGUAGGCUUGUGGAGUCCUCUUUCAGUUCCCCGGCUCUGCUCUUGGGAGAUCUCACAGUGGAGGAAGCUGCUGGGCCCCUGGGGAAAUCUCAGAGCUGGAAAGGCUGGGUUCUGCCUCCUGGUGCAGCCUUGAGGCCUUACCUCCCUCCCUGCUGCUCACCCUUCUGAGAGGCUGAGUCUCCCACCUGAAAGGCUCAGCCUCCCCUUUUGCUCCAUCCUGCACUUGCUUAUAGUCAUCUCCACCAAAUACUGAACUUGUCAAGUCGCUUUCUUGCUCAAAACCCUUCUCCCUUUUUGUCCAUGGGCAUAGCCCACACUCCUUGCUCUGGCAUUCAGGGCUCUCUGAUAUGAUGCCCUCCCCACUGCUGUAAUCUCUCUCCCACCUCCCUGAUCAACCAACACUCUUAACACACUUCCACCAUCACUCCUUAGCUCCUGCUGUCCCUACCUGCCACCCCAACCCUUUCUCUGACUUUCUGCCUAACCAAUCCCUAUCCCCCACAAUAUUUAACUCAAAUUUUGUCUUUUCCAGGCAGGCUGCCAGGCUUUACAGAGCUCUUCCUUUCCGAGCUUCUCUGGCUCCUGGAACAUCCACAGGGGUCUGCACUGGACCUGCCUCCGAUAACUGGACCACCUUUCCACUUCUGAAUGCCCCUGCUUGAGGGAUGGAGAUGGAGACAUGAUCCAGGCCUAGCCAGCCAGUGUAUGCCACCCCUCUGAUCACAGUGGGGUGGGGAUGGGAAUGUGAUCCAAGUUGGUGCAUUGAGAUUUGCUCCCAAGCUUUUGCUGGAACUAUUGGGAAGGAGUAUCUGUUUUGCCUCUUGGGUUGCCUUGGGGCAGGAUGUAAGCUGGACCUGCUAGUGGCCAUCUGUCAUAAUGAAAGGGGAGGAAAAUGGAACCCAGAAAGGAAGACACAUCCCAGAUGGAUGUCAAACACCUGGGUCCAGCCAUGCUUGAAGUAGUAUACCUCUUAGCCUUGUC
rnacentral:lncRNA from 1 species